CAAUUGUCCUAAUAGCCACCAUGGAUUGGAUGGAUGCUAACAACAGGCGCAGAGUUCUCCAUCUGUUGCCUCCUUUUAUCCACAUGAGAAUAAAACAAGACUACUGAUUAAAUGAAGCCUUUGAUGAAGUGCAUGCAGUUUGUAGCUUGAUUCGUGGGAAUACUCAUCACUGACUGAAAGUGUAACCCAGGGUCUCUGGGUUUUUGGGAAUGCACUGUGUAAAAGUAUCUACUUGUAACUGUUACUCCCUGAGUUGUUGUUGUUUUAUAAAGUUCCAAGAAGAAGCUUAGCCUUGGAAAAAACAAAAACUGGUUGAAUCCAGAAGUGGAGAUGAAUUUUGGCCAACGCUCCUCACUGCCUCACUAAAAACCCUGCUCAGAGAGGAGCUUAUUCACCAUGUUCUAUUCAUGCAAUGUGUGUGGAAACAUGAUCUACAACAGCAUGCGUGCUGCCUUCACCCUACCUCUACAUACAAUGACUCAUUUAAUCUGCUGAAUAAAAGCCCUAUUUUCACCUUUGCUGGGGGAGGUGCUGCUUUGGGAACUAUUUGCAGUGUCCUCUUCACUUUUUGCAAGUAAUAGAAUACCCUUGUUAAAUCCU
rnacentral:lncRNA from 1 species